rnacentral:rRNA from 2 species
CUGGCUCAGGAUGAACGCUGGCGGCGUGCCUAAUACAUGCAAGUCGAACGAGUUCUGAUUAUUGAAAGGUGCUUGCAUCUUGAUUUAAUUUUGAACGAGUGGCGGACGGGUGAGUAACACGUGGGUAACCUGCCCUUAAGUGGGGGAUAACAUUUGGAAACAGAUGCUAAUACCGCAUAAAUCCAAGAACCGCAUGGUUCUUGGCUGAAAGAUGGCGUAAGCUAUCGCUUUUGGAUGGACCCGCGGCGUAUUAGCUAGUUGGUGAGGUAACGGCUCACCAAGGCAAUGAUACGUAGCCGAACUGAGAGGUUGAUCGGCCACAUUGGGACUGAGACACGGCCCAAACUCCUACGGGAGGCAGCAGUAGGGAAUCUUCCACAAUGGACGCAAGUCUGAUGGAGCAACGCCGCGUGAGUGAAGAAGGCUUUCGGGUCGUAAAACUCUGUUGUUGGAGAAGAAUGG